rnacentral:lncRNA from 1 species
CCAUGUACUUGUACUUGCAUUCCAGGUGGGGAUUGUAUCAUGUCUCCCAGACAUCACAUCAUCAGAAUAAUAUGGGAAAAAGGAUAUGUUCUGUUAGGUCCAUCAUCAUCUUGAAAGACAGGUGGCUCCAGUGGCACCUAUUCUUCUGACAAAGGAGAAGAAUUAGCUCUGCACUGGAAAAUAAACCAGAGAGAAUCACAACUGUGGGCCAUUUUGAGAAGAUGUUCUGCUUCUUAAGGACAGCACUGACAAUGUCUACAUGCAUGUACUCCAGGGUAGAGUGGAUUUUUUGAACUCUAAGGUUAGCAGCAAAAUGAGCAACUGGGAGUCAAAGAGUAAGAACGCUUUCAGUACCCACAGUAUUUCAAGAAAGAAGACUUCUGCACUGAACCCUUGCCAAGAAUCUGGCCAGCUCUGCUAGAUGGCCAGCAGGGGCGUGUCUGGAAAAAAUGGUUGUUUUCCCACCUCUAUUUGAGAGAUAAAACUCUAGGAGGACUGAAAUGGAGAAUGAAAGCAUCUGCAGGAACUGAGCAGGGACAGUCCAGAAAUUUGAAAAUGAAAGACCAAGAUUUUUAAAAUAGACAAAUGAAAGGAGAAGAAAAGACAACAAUGACAUUUCUAAUUCUUUAGGUAAGUAGAUAGUAAAUAUGAAUAUAAAUUGUGAAAAAAAUUAAUCUUCUAAAUCCAAUGAAUAUGCAAUUUUUAUGUAGCACAGAAGAAAUUAAAUGUUUAAUUCUAGGUCUUUGCAAUUGGAAAAGUUAAAUUCAGUUAUCUUUACUGAAGAAAAGUUCUCCCACUUACCAGUCAUACCGUGCUACAACGUCUUGCGCCACUGUACAACUUAACAACAAAGCAGCACUAACAUUUUAGGUUAGGAGAUAUGAUUGUAUAAUUGAGCAAGUCAGAAACGUUAAAGAAAAAACAAACAAACAAAAAAACCCAGGUGUGAUUGUUCUGUAAAUAAUUUUUGGGUUAUACAUAAAUAUGGAAAUACUGAUGUUUGUCUCUAGUCUUAUCAGAAAAGAAGUAAAAAAAAAAAAAGUGAAUAUCUUACUAAAACAAUCAGAAGUGUCCAGGUGGUGCUCUUAGAGUACAUUAUUAA